rnacentral:rRNA from 1 species
GGGCCCGCACAAGCGGUGGAGCAUGUGGUUUAAUUCGAAGCAACGCGCAGAACCUUACCAGCUUUUGACAUGUCCUGGACGGAUUGUGGAGACACGAUCUUCUCUUCGGAGCCGGGAACACAGGUGCUGCA